rnacentral:lncRNA from 1 species
UUAAGGCGGUAGACCUAUGUUAAGGGAAAUCACUCUUAAAAUCAUCAGUACGUUUUUGUCAACCAUUUUCAUAAACAUAUUCUAAGCUUCUAGGUUACAUAGAUUAUUUUCAAUCUGUUUCAGGUAAAUGCUUAAAAUACAUUGAUGAAACUUGACUUGUACAAACGCAUCACUGAUUUAAGGAGUUAUCUCCCUUCACCAAGGUCUACCCCCUUAA